rnacentral:rRNA from 1 species
AUCCAGCGAACUUGGCAGAGAUGCUGUGCCUUCGGGAACGCUGAGACAGGUGCUGCAUGGCUGUCGUCAGCUCGUGUUGUGAAAUGUUGGGUUAAGUCCGCAACGAGCGCAACCCUUAUCCUUUGUUGCCAGCGAUUCGGUCGGGAACUCAAAGGAGACUGCCGGUGAUAAACCGGAGGAAGGUGGGGAUGACGUCAAGUCAUCAUGGCCCUUACGAGUAGGGCUACACACGUGCUACAAUGGCGCAUACAAAGAGAAGCGACCUCGCGAGAGCAAGCGGACCUCAAAAAGUGCGUCGUAGUCCGGAUCGGAGUCUGCAACUCGACUCCGUGAAGUCGGAAUCGCUAGUAAUCGUGGAUCAGAAUGCCACGGUGAAUACGUUCCCGGGCCUUGUACACACCGCCCGUCACACCAUGGGAGUGGGUUGCAAAAGAAGUAGGUAGCUUAACCUUCGGGAGGGCGCUUACCACUUUGUGAUUCAUGACUGGGGUGAAGUCGUAACAAGGUAAGCGUAGCGAG